rnacentral:rRNA from 1 species
UCCACACCUAGGCCGGGUCUUUUACCAGCCUCCCUGCGUCGCCGGCCGCUCGGCAGCUGCUCCUGCUGGCGCAGUGGCGCACGGGUGCAGUCCUCUCUCGGCCCGUGCCCUCAGCAGUGGGGGCAUCCCUCGUCGCACCGCACUCAGCUCCUCCCGCCAUCACGCAUCCUCACGGCAUAGCACACAGUGGGGGCAUCGCCACAGCACCUCCAUGCCUCCUUUGGGCAGCGGCCGCAUCAUCUAGCAUUUCAGCUCAGUUGGUCGGGGGUCACACACAGCCUCACCCCACAGGGCGCACGCAUCCAGUUCCAGCUUGGGUUCGUUAGCCAGUCAGGCACCUGCACUCCCAGACCCACAACCCAACUAAGUGGGACNACCUUGNGGCAAGCCACUCACGGGUCUCCCGCUAAGACAACGUUCCCUUAACCCNGGG